AUUAUUAUGGGAACAACAUUCUAAGUGUUUGUCAUAACCGCUUUCCUCUUAUAAGCAAGACCAUUCUUUACAUCCAUGGCCCUGCUAGUUGGCCACAGACAACCAGACCAUGGCUAGGUCCCUGACCUCAAGGCAACAACAGAAGCCCAAUCAUUUCACUAUGAGCUGGGGCUCCACAUUGGAGAGUGGCCUAUCUAAUCAAAGUCUUUCUCUUUGGGCAUUUGAAUGAGAUACAUGCAAUCCCCACACAGCGUGAUGGCAUGAAAAAGAAACAAUAUACAAAGAGAGAAUCACCCUUGAUGAAACAUACUCUGGCAUAAGAUGAGCCAGCAUGUGGCACCUGGCAUUUCAUUAAACAAUUGCACUGACUUAGAGGAUGCCCAGGAACCCAGACCACUACAUACACCAAAUCUCUUUUCUGAAAAUCCACGGAGAAAUUUUUCCAGCUGCUAGGCAUUCCAGGAGAAGCUGCUGACCAGCAGGGCUCUCGGACAUAUGAAUAAGAAUACCCACUUGGAAAAGAGAAGAAGUACACACCCCUUCAUUUUAGGUCAUGUCUUUUUCUGAGGUCCUAUUUCAGUAGUACAGAUGCCUCUGAGCUGAAGAGAGGUAAAGAAAAGAACAGGCUGUCUCGCACACAAAAUCUUUGACUGACCACCAGCCACCUCCCAGUAUCUGGAGAAAUUCUGGCCUCACGAACUGUCCGCAAAGUUAAUGGGAAGAUGGGAAACGCCCUUAGUUCUCAUGCAAAAGGGAAAACACUGGAAUGCAAAGUUUUGACCCAAACCACAGCUAUGAAGCCAGCAUCGGGAUGCUUUCAAAGUUAAGCAUUGCUGGGGUAACUUUCAUAAUAUAAAAUGUCUGGACCAUCUCAUUACCAACGAGAAUUGCAUUCUUUAAAGAUGAUUUGAACAACAUUAGCCACUCUGCUUGUCAUCUAUACCAUGAAAUCCCAUGCCUAGAGCCAAGAAAACCCCCAAGGAAAUUGUCUCACACAAGCAGCAGAACAGAGAGCGCCAGGCAGCAGUGAGGAACUGUUAAGAGAAAAACCAUAUGGUAAUACAAGGAAAGAACAACUUCUCAGUGCGGCCCAGCUGGAAGCUGAGACUAAGGAGGAGCAUCCAGGGGCCAGCCCCUAGGUCACAAAGCCAGGUAGAUAAGCUCAGAAUGCCAAACCCAGGGAGCCACUCUGGAAAACACAUCAUAUAACCAAAAAAGCACUUGAUUAAUACUGAAUA